rnacentral:rRNA from 1 species
ACGAGUUACUUUUCUCUGGCAAGGUUAAGUGUUUAAGACGCGAAGCCGAAGCGAAAGCGAGUCUGAAUAGGGCGAUUCAGUCGCAUGUCCUAGACCCGAAGCGAAGUGAUCUAUCCAUGGGCAGGUUGAAGCGCGGGUAAGACCGCGUGGAGGACCGAACCCACUUGGGUUGAAAACCGAGGGGAUGACCUGUGGUUAGGGGUGAAAGGCCAAUCAAACUCCGUGAUAGCUGGUUCUCCCCGAAAUGCAUUUAGGUGCAGCGUUGCGUGGUUCUUGUUGGAGGUAGAGCACUGGAUGGUCUAGGGGGCUUAUCGGCUUACCGAAAUCAGCCAAACUCCGAAUGCUGGCAAGCGUAGCGUGGCAGUGAGACGGCGGGGGAUAAGCUUCGUCGUCGAGAGGGAAACAGCCCAGAUCAUCAGCUAAGGCCCCUAAGUGGUGACUCAGUGGGAAAGGAUGUGGAGUUGCGUAGACAACCAGGAGGUUGGCUUGGAAGCAGCCAUCCUUGAAAGAGUGCGUAAUAGCUCACUGGUCGAGAGGCCUUGCGCCGAAGAUGUCCGGGGCUCAAGUACAGAACCGAAGUCGCGGCAGGAUUUAUAAUUCUGGGUAGGGGAGCGUUGUAUAUCCGACUGAAGGUGUACCGGAAGGAGCGCUGGAGGAUAUACAAGAGAGAAUGCCGGUAUGAGUAGCGAAAAGAACAGUGAGAAUCUGUUCCACCGAAAGCCUAAGGUUUCCUGAGCAACGCUCGUCGACUCAGGGUAAGUCGGGACCUAAGCCGAGGCAAAAAGCAUAGGCGAUGGACAACAGGUUAAUAUUCCUGUACCGC